rnacentral:rRNA from 1 species
UACGAAGGGUGCAAGCGUUGUUCGGAAUUACUGGGCGUAAAGGGCGCGCAGGCGGCUGCUCAAGUCAGGCGUGAAAGGCCUGGGCUCAACCCGGGAAUUGCGCUUGAGACUGGGCUGGCUUGAGUGCGGGAGAGGAUGGUGGAAUUCCCAGUGUAGAGGUGAAAUUCGUAGAUAUUGGGAAGAACACCUGCGGCGAAGGCGGGUUGCUGGGCUGAUACUGACGCUGAGGCGCGAAAGCUAGGGGAGCGAACGGG